UCUUAUGUUUUUGGUAGAUCUACUACAAUGAUUUUCAAACUUACAGAUUUCAACCUAUUAGUGGGUCACAGAAUCAGUGUAAUCUGUUGCAACCCAGAAAUUUUUUAAUUGGAAUAAUAAAAGGGAAGAAAAAUGAAAUAUCAUAGGGCAACUCAGUGUGACUUUUGAGUGAUGAGUUAAUUUGAUAUCUUGAAAUGAAUCUGAACAUUUCCCAAGUAGGAGGAGACCCUCUAUAAUCAUGUUGUCUUCAGUUAUAUGUAUAUGCAUAUGUCCAAGGAGAUAUACAGAGUGGUCAGAAAACAUUGAAAGCCACUAAUCUAAAUUAUAGGGAACCGGAUUUUUGAUGCAUAAUGAUCAUUUUACUCUAUUUAAUAAGUAGGAUCCUCAGGGUCAAGCUGUACAUUCCUUGGUACUCUCCUGAAAAAUACAUGCCAGAGUUCUAAAAUUCUGUAGUGUUGUAGAAUUUCUCUUAAAAAUAAAAUAAAUGAUUUCUUAUUUUUAUUACAUAAUUUUGCACCAUCAAUUUUGAUUUCCUUUUGUAUCAGCCAGGAGAGUCUCUAGGACUCGCCCAUGUCUGGGACUCUUUAAAUGCAAUGAGUUUAACUCAUCUUUAAAUGAACAAGCAUUUUUUUUUUUAUUACUGCAGUCACUAGCAUGUUUCCAUAUCAUCUCUUCAUUCCUUAAGGACAUUUGUUAUUAGUGAUGGGUCCUUGGGAGCCAAGCGUUCCCACUGGGCUUGCCUGUCCAUAGACAUCUGACUAGCAGCCUAAUUCCCCACACAACCAUAUUCAAGGUAAUUCACUUGACAGUUACCGAGUGCUUCCCCAUAUAUCAGCCUAGGGCUCAGCAAUGGAGAUUGACUGACUGAUUGAUUGAUUGAUUUGCCAAACCCAUGGCAUGCAGAAGUUCCCAGGACAGGGACUGAACCCAAGCCACAGCAGUGACCUGAGCCACAGCAGUAACAACAACAGCAGAUCCUUAACCUGCUGAGCCACCAGAGAACUUCAUCCCUGGAGAUUUAAAGAAAUAUAAAACUAGUCCCUGUGCUCAAAGUAUUUAUACAACUCUAAUCUUUAAAUAUACUGUCAAUGUUUUUACAUUUAAAAAAAUAUUUCUCAUUCAAACUGUUCACUUUCCUCUCAAAUCUACUUCAGUUUCACUGAAUAUACUGUCUUCAGCUCUAUUCCCCUGUAAAUUUAGGUUUUAAGCAAAUGAUCAAGAUAUUUCCAUUGGCCAAGUUCUCCCAAUCUGCAUUACAGUUAGUCCUGUAGUACAGAUUGUAAAAAUCAGUAAGCACCCCCAUUAUUUUCCAACUAUUAAGCAACUAACCUGUUCUUUAACGUGUGCUGUUAUGCCUUAGCUUAUCACCUUUAGGUCUUGGUUUUACUCCAAAAUGCAUUUGAAAUUUUGAAAUCAUAUUAGAAAGUGUGUAAAGGGAGAGGGGAACCUCUACAAUCAUGUUAAUGUUUGCCAAGCAAUAGUAAAUUGAAGCCCUCUUUAAAAGAAUAAGAUGAGGAUUAUUUCAUACCCAUUGCAUGUAUUUGUACCAAAAAAAAAAAAAAAAAAAGAAAAGUAACUGAUUCCCUCUACAUCCAUUGGGAAAAUAAUAUGGUGGUCAAGGUCUAGCUAAACAGUAUAUUGAAGAUUCAACUAAAACCUCAAAACUAAGCAUAAUGUACUACAGGCAAUAAGUUGAAACCCAUUUAACAGUAGGUCAUCACCAUAACUGGAAUUACAGUAUAGUUAUGUCCAAGCCUAAUUUAUUCCACUCACUGAAUCAGGGCAGCAAGUUAGGGUUUUGCUACAUAAGAAGUCACAGAAAAAUGAAAGAUUCCUAGGAUAGUUUUCUUCCCCAUGGAGUGUUUGCCUAAGGUGUUCACACAUCCACCCACUGAAAUUUAAUCAUUAAUGUAGCACAUCGCUAGAGAGAUGAAAGGCAGCAAAGUGACAUAGGUUAGUUAGAUCUCAGGAGAAAAACCAACAUAUCAAAGUCCUGUCAGAAUAAAAGAUAGGAACCCAAAGGACAAUAGGAAUUUUGUUUUGCACAAAAGAAAUGUUUCUAUUUAUCAAGUUUUACUUACUUGUAAAACUUCUCUUUUCCACCACCAUCUAUCCCACCAAUAUAACUGAUGAAUUAAAUGUUUUACAAUAAAAGUUGUCAAAAUAGAAAAGUCUAACAAAAUUGUUGGUAAGGAUGAUAAGGAUUGAUUUUGCAAGGCUGUUCUAACAUUCUAGUUUUUAAAUAUUUAGGAAAAUAAUGUAACCAGCAAAAUAAGUAAAAAGCCCCAUAAGAAACAAUUUAAAGAAGAAUCAUCAGUCUAGACUAUCAAACUCCAAGUCACAAAUUCAAAUACUUACAGAGCAGUUCAGGUAAAGCAAGAAAUGCAGUUGGUCUAAUAUAAAACCAUAGGGAGAGGUGCCAUAUUAGAAAAUAUCUGCUCGGCUUGGAUAUGUAGCACUAUUCUACUCCAUUAGGUCAUUGCCGUGAGGGAAGCAGGAAAAAGGGUGCCAGAUCUUUUAAUUUUUCAAGAGAAUCUGAAGGCCUGGAUUUUUGUGUUAAUGUUCUCAAUUUUUAUCAAGCUGAAAAUGACAAACAAAAAUUAUGUAUGAGCCAUUUUGAAUUCAAUUUCUGCUAUAUGUGACCUCUAUUCUAGAAGAAUAUAAUUAUAUAAUAUAAGGAAAGGUUGCUCUGUAAUUCAGUUAAUAUUACAAAAAUAUAAUGGAGUUUUGGAAACAAUUAUUUUUUAUCAUUACCUCUGGGAUAUGAUUCAAUUUACCUUUUACUUUUGGUUAAUGUUGAGGAAAAGAUACACAAAACCACUCUAAGAGGGUGGUGUUUGUCAUCAGAGAAGACUUGAAGGUCAUCAGGACCUGGGGUCAGCUUGGUCUAGAUGUCCAGCAAGGCAUUGGAGCAAAACCAGGUCCUAUAAAUUAAAAACUCCUUAGGAAAGGCCAAUCGUUUAAUUCCCUAGCCUUGGUACAUAGCCUUAAGAAUGAGGGAAAUAUGAUUUUAAUAUUUCUCUCCCGUGUAAAUGUCACUCAAAUGUAUCAGCAUAUUUGAAGGGUAUGUUUGUAUUCCUUCCAUUCCCUUAAAAGCCUGAAAUGUCAACACAUAGUCAAUAGCUCAUUUCCUGUUGAUCUUUUAGAACUAAUUUUUUUUAAAUGAAACCAAAGAUUUGUUUUUAAAACUCUCUGGCUCCCCAUUAGGAUUAAUAAUAUUUUGGGCUUGGCAUACACCUCCCAGUCAAUUGGAUGUCUUACCUAAUCACCCCACCCCCAUCUUCACAUCAGACUGAUCAGAGUUGUUUCCCAGUCUUCCAGGCUGAGGCAAGCUGGUACUGAGCUUUCCCCCACAGAGGUCCUCCAUUACCCUACCAGAGUCCCUCCACUUAGCCCAUCACAGAACAAUUUACUCAACAUCCUCUCAACACAGUUGAUUCUUAGUGAAUGUUGCCUUAGUCUCUAACUUUAGCCUCGAUCCAUGAAGCCAAGGAAUUCCAGUGUCACAGAUAAAAUUUGCUAAAAAGUUUAAUUUGGCCUCAAUAGGUGACCUGAAUUUCAGGCCUUUGUUGACAAGAGUGUUGCAGCACCCACUAAAUGUGGCUUAUCCCUGGCAUGCUGGUAAAUCUUAGGUUCAUAUUACUCUGUACUGUUUUGUCAAACGAGGCAUCUUUCAUUUUCUAAUAUUUAAAAAAUCACUCCUAACAAUAUGGCUCCAAAAGAAGGAAAUUUCAAGUGGUGCUUUUCACUGAGUUCCAGGUAAAGAUUUGUAGAAUAUGAAAUAUUGAAAGUUGUGGUCAGAACAAAGAAAGUACAAUAGAUUUUUUUUUUAAAUUACUCUUCACUGAAGCUCACCGAAUACUUAGUAGCACACAUUCCCUUCUCAAGAAAAUCAAAUUUGCAAAUGUACCUAACAUCAAGCACUGUAUCUAGCUCAGAAGAUUGCAGUGGAUGCUCCAAAUCAUUAUUGACUUCCUCUUCAAGUGUUGUGAGUGAAGUCAGGUAGAUUUUCUCAGACUGCCAGUUCCAGUACUUCCUUUUUGGUAUGUUUGAGUAAUAUCAGAUAUAUAGACAUUAUAAAUGGUAAAGUACAUGAGUUAUUCACUAAAAAAUCAAUCAUCAUUUUCCAUCAGUACAAAAUAUAAGGAUUAUGUAUACUAUAUUCACAUAUAUAUGAAUGUGUACAUAUAUAUAUGAAUGUUACAUGUGACUGGGGGGGACCGAGUAGGAAGGAAUAUUAUAGGAAUUACAUAAAAAAAAGAGACUCUAAAGAGAACAGAGUUUUAGGGGAAGAAGAGAAAACAUAGACAUAAAAAAAUAAAUAAAAAUUAAAACAUGGGCUACUUUUCAGAAAGAGUCUUGCAGGCUUAAGAUAACCAGGUUUCCAAGGAAUACUGGAUGUACAAAGUUGAUGGACUCAUGGAUAGAAAGCCCAGCACCAACUCCCAGAAUAUGGGAAGAGGAGGAUAUUACACAGAACUAGACCAGGACAGCAGCACCAAGAAGGCAGCAUGAGGAAAAUCCCUUAAUUUAUAAUUCCCCUAGGCGUGCCCACUCAUUCAACAGUUCACUGAUGGAGUUGAUCGGAAAGGGGGAAAAUAGGGAUUUUCCUUCUCUCUACAAUGUUCUUAAGCUAAUUUUGAAAUAUUAUAUUUUAAUGGGUUAUUUAUUUAAUUAUUUUACGCCAGAAACAUUUAUCGAGGUCUGUGGGGUGGUUGUUUCUUCUAAACAAACUGAAAACCUAGAUAAGAAAGGGAUAUAGAUGAAAAUAUCACAUAUGUUAGUCAUAAGGACUGUCAUAAAUAACUUACUAUAAGAACCAUGACAACCCUGCUAACCAAGCCUGUAAUUCACCAUAUUUUAUUGCCUUGUUACAGAUAACACUAGACAGCAGAUGAUCUGCUCACUCGGGGUGUAAGGUGGCGACCUCUUGCUUCCUAGGCUAGCUAGCCCCCAACAGG
rnacentral:lncRNA from 1 species